UUGACAUUUGAGCUUCUCCCCACUAGCGACCUUUACUUCAAAGGGCUCCACGGUCGCCCCUCUCAAUCCAACCUUCUUUACUAUUCCGGAGUUGAUAAAAUUAUGGGAUGAACCGCUAUCUACCAAGAGAGAUACCUCAUGUUUGCCCACCCAUGCCAUCAAACGCAUGGUGGACGGUCUUUGUACUCCGGACAUGGCAUGCAAGGAUAGCUCGGCCUCUUCUUCUCCCGGGCUAAAAUCAGCCCCAUGGUCUUGCUCCUCCUCAUCUUCUUCCUCCGAAGCCUCCGAAGUAGCCUCC
rnacentral:lncRNA from 1 species